rnacentral:rRNA from 1 species
AACGAACGCUGGCGGCAGGCUUAACACAUGCAAGUCGAGCGGGCGAGGUUGCUUCGGUAACUGAGCUAGCGGCGGACGGGUGAGUAAUGCUUAGGAAUCUGCCUAUUAGUGGGGGACAACAUUCCGAAAGGGAUGCUAAUACCGCAUACGUCCUACGGGAGAAAGCAGGGGCUCUUUAUGACCUUGCGCUAAUAGAUGAGCCUAGGUCGGAUUAGCUAGUUGGUGGGGUAAAGGCCUACCAAGGCGACGAGCUGUAGCGGGUCUGAGAGGAUGAUCCGCCACACUGGGACUGAGACACGGCCCAGACUCCUACGGGAGGCAGCAGUGGAGAAUAUUGGAAAAUGGGGGGAACCCUGAUCCAGCCAUGCCGCGUGUGUGAAGAAGGCCUUUUGGUUGUAAAGCACUUUAAGCGAGGAGGAGGCUUACCUGGUUAAUACCUAGGAUAAGUGGACGUUACUCGCAGAAUAAGCACCGGCUAACUCUGUGCCAGCCGCCGCCGUAAAAC